AGAGUUUGAUCAUGGCUCAGAACGAACGCUGGCGGCGUGCUUAACACAUGCAAGUCGCGUGCGCAGUUUCCGUAGCAAUACGGGGAUGGGCGCACGGCGCACGGGUGCGUAACACGUGGGCAAUCUGCCCUCCGAUGGGGAAUACCCCCGCGAAAGCGGGACUAAUUCCGCAUAACAUUCCUUGGAUUAACUUUCGAGGAUUCAAAGCAGCAAUGCGUCGGAGGAGGAGCCCGCGCCCGAUUAGCUAGUUGGUGAGGUAACGGCUCACCAAGGCAAUGAUCGGUAGCUGGUCUGAGAGGAUGGCCAGCCACACUGGAACUGAGACACGGUCCAGACUCCUACGGGAGGCAGCAGUGGGGAAUCUUGCACAAUGGGCGAAAGCCUGAUGCAGCGACGCCGCGUGGGGGAUGAAGCUUUUCGGAGUGUAAACCCCUUUCGACUGGGACGAAUGCCUCGCAAGAGGAGUGACGGUACCAGUACAAGAAGCCCCGGCUAACUACGUGCCAGCAGCCGCGGUAAGACGUAGGGGGCCAGCGUUGUUCGGAAUUACUGGGUGUAAAGGGUUCGUAGGCGGUGUGGCAAGUCGGGAGUGAAAUCUCUGGGCUCAACCCAGAGACUGCUUCCGAAACUGCUGUGCUUGAGUGUGAGAGAGGCUCGUGGAAUUGCAGGUGUAGCGGUGAAAUGCGUAGAUAUCUGCAGGAACACCCGUGGCGAAAGCGGCGAGCUGGAUCACUACUGACGCUGAGGAACGAAAGCUAGGGGAGCAAACAGGAUUAGAUACCCUAGUAGUCC
rnacentral:rRNA from 1 species